rnacentral:rRNA from 1 species
CAGCCGCCGCGGGAAUACGAAGGGGGCUAGCGUUGUUCGGAAUUACUGGGCGUAAAGGGCGCGUAGGCGGCCAUUCAAGUUAGAGGUGAAAGCCCGGAGCUCAACUCCGGAAUUGCCUUUAAGACUGCCGAGCUAGUAGGUGAGAGAGGUAAGUGGAAUUCCGAGUGUAGAGGUGAAAUUCGUAGAUAUUCGGAAGAACACCAGUGGCGAAGGCGGCUUACUGGCUCAUUCUAGACGCUGAGGUGCGAAAGCGUGGGGAGCAAACAGGAUUAGAUACCCGUGUAGUCCCUGUCUCUUAUAU